AAUCCCAGCAGUCAGUGACUUGAACUGCCACAUUUUUAGGCAGGCACUCUAUCUGAGCCACUACCUUCUUUUUUGCCAGAGCUUUCUGCCUAGUGGAGACCAUGACUAGACUUGUUGUCUGGGAAGUAGUCAACAGGUUUUAUACACACACAUGUGAUCUCGCCUCUGCUCCUGGCUCCGCCUCCACAGUGUAUGAGCAUCGCUGCCACACAGAGGGCAAUGGCACCCAGCAGUUGCUGCCUGACAGGAGCUACCCCUCAACCGGUCAAAGCAAUUCCCUGUUUCAACUCAGAAUGCAUCUGUACCAGAACUGAAUAACUUGCUGAAAAGGCUGUUAGUGGCUUUCAAAGCAGCCUGAUAUCAUUCACCAUAAAUAUUAUUGCCAUCACUCUUGUUCAAAACAUUGUUUAUCAUGUCUAUGUUUGCUCUACUACAGUCUAUCAGAACAGAUACUCCAGUGAGUAUUAGUACUCUCUAGCCUGGUAAAUGUUUACAUACCUCUCUGUAUACGUGUUUCUGCCAUCAUUUAUGUAUCACCCUUAGUUCUACCUCUUGUGUAACUGUUAUCUAUAGUUGCCCAGACUGCUGGCACUUGUAUACAAAUAUUUCUAUUAUUUUUAUCUUUCUCAUCUGUUUAGCCAACCACACAAUACAUUUUGUUGUUCAUAGAAACACUUCUUGCCUCUUCUGGGAUGAGUUAUUGAUGCCUAGUGCUUGUUCAGUAGAUUCUUCUCACAAUAUGUUCUGAAACAAAUCUAUCUCAGUGAUAUCUCAUGACUUGUCAGUCUAAUGUGUCAAGUAAUUAUAAUCAGCUCUGAGGAAGUUUAAGAGUCUUUUCUUCAGGAAUGUUUCCAAAAUCUAAACAACCCAUAACCUCUUACAACAAUAACCAACGGGAUAGAAACUACAUCUGAAUUUAAAUAAGUAAAGGAUUGCCCAUUAAUGCUUUAAAAGUCAGCACCAACUUUGCUGUGAGCUGCUCAAAGAGUCAAAUUCUGCACAUAGUC
ensembl:lncRNA